rnacentral:rRNA from 1 species
CCUCCCUCUGGCGGCAUGCCUAACCCAUGCAAGUCGAACGAGACCUUCGGGUCUAGUGGCGCACGGGUGCGUAACGCGUGGGAACCUGCCCUUAGGUUCUGAAUAACUCCCCGAAAGGGGUGCUAAUACCGGAUAAUGUCUUCGGACCAAAGAUUUAUCGCCUUUGGAUGGGCCCUCGUUGGAUUAGCUAUUUGGUAGGGUAAAAGCCUACCAAGGCGACGAUCCAUAGCUGGUCUGAGAGGAUGAUCAGCCACACUGGGACUGAGACACGGCCCAGACUCCUACGGGAGGCAGCAGUGGGGAAUAUUGGACAAUGGGCGAAAGCCUGAGACAGCAAUGCCGCGUGAGUGAUGAAGGCCUUAGGGUUGUAAAGCUCUUUUACCCGGGAUGAUAAUGACAGUACCGGGAGAAUAAGCUCCGGCUAACUCCGUG